ACACUGGACAGGAGAAAGGCAAGCUAGAGACAAUGGAAUAACUGUUUCCUAUCUUGAAUGUGAGCAGGGGGUGUGCGGAGCCUCCAUUUUAACAGUCAGGAAGAGGAGUUUAUUUCUGCGGCCAGCAGAGGCUGACUUUUUAACUUGAAAUUAGUAUGUGCACGCAUAUUGUCACAGGCGUAGAAAGGAAUUUUUAAAAAACCCUUAAAAAGCAUGAUUUGAUUAAAAUGAAUCUCAAGGCUUAAGAAAUAUCUGAUCUCUUGAGACCGUCUGACUCACGAUUGUGAUCUGUUGAGGUUGACAAUACUGGAAACAAAUGAGAAUGCUUUUAUAAUUGCUGGACCAACCAAGCAAGAAGAAAUCUAGCUGCAAGGGGAAAAAUAACUGUGAUUCAGAGAACUAACUACGUGUAGAACAGAGGAUCUUAGAUUCCUUAAAAGAUUCUGAUGGAAGCCCAAAGAAUGCUUAAGAGUGUCCUUGAAGAGAUUAACUAAAUCCAGAGUGCCCACGAAGUGGGAGUUCUGAGAAAGGAUGUGCUUAAGCUACUAGCGAAUCUGAGAGUCAGCGCUGGUCCUGGCUGCUAAAGCGUUGAGCCACGUAGUUCCAUUUCUAGAGUCUUUGCCCAAGAGAGAUCCAACAUCCAACUGGAAGAGCCUCAGUAUUUUAUACAGACUUUGGAUCAGGCCUCUGAAUAAGAAGCUAGAAGAAAGAACACUUUGAAAACAGCUGAAAAUGCUCUGAAAACUAUGGGGAUAAAAACUGCUUCCAGAAGCAUUCCAAUAGCUGAGAACUUGAACCAGGGAAGCCCAGGCCUUGAAUGUUGCACUGGAUUCAGUGGCACGCUACUGCUACAUGAGGGACACCAAACUUGCCCUUUGUUGUCACAGUAGAAGGACAUGUGCUUUCCACAAAAUAUGAGGCCAGUACCUGGACUGCUUUGCACAACUGCGCAGAUCUAUUAAAGGGCGAUUUCUAGUUGGCUCUUUUAGAAAGCUACCCAUGCAUCCAGAAUGCUUGCUGUGGCUAUGGAUAGCUUAUAAAGUAGGAAAAGUCUACAUGAACCCUCACAAAUCUGUAACAGGCAAAGUCACUAACACAAAAAGUUUAAUCGCAUGUGGCGGGCAUGCCAGUAGGAGCCUGGCUUGCUGGCUUGAAAGGGCUUCAAGCCAUUGGUGGGACAUUAUCUCCAAUCAGGUGGUGGUGGAGGAGAGGCUGCCCUGCUCCUGCUUGGGGCAAGGCAAAGAGCCUGGACCUGGGGGCGGGCUAUACUUUCCUUCACCCUGAUUGGUCCUCUUGCAAUCGGGGGGGGGGAGGCAAAGCCUCUGAAGGGUAUAAAAGAACAGCAUGCCUAGCACAUGGACACACUUCAAAGGAUGAAGAAGAGAGCAAGACUAAGAGGAGAGCUGCCCAGCAGGGCAGAGCAGUAUCCCUGAGGAGCCAGGCGGCCUCCUCGCCAGAUGGGAGUGGCAAGUGGUGCGGCCCACAGCACCAGUGCACAGUUCGGUGCAUGGAGCAGAGACCCUGGGAGCCGCACAAGGCCACUCGAGUGCACAACCCCUGGUAUGAGUCCAGGGGCUCGGUACAGGCAACACUGCACAGUGGUUCCAAGAAGGACCAGGCUCCUGGGAGCUGCACAAGGCAGCUCGGGUCCCCAACCCCUGGUAAGUGGACAGAAUCUUGGUGCAUGGCGUGGUCCAAGUGGGACCCAGGCCCUGGAGCUAUAUGAGGUGGCUCGGGUCUCCAACCCCUGGCACAAGGACAGGAAGAUUCGGUGCAGGUGGUGCUGCACAGAGGGUCUGGAAGCAGACCCAGGCCCUGGGAGCCAUGUGGGGCAGCUAGGGACUACCACCCCUGCCUCCCCGCUGGCAUGAGGUCAGGCAUCUAAAGCUGAAGCCUCGUAUGGAGGGCCCCGGUUGAAACCGAGACCCUGAAACCCUGCAAGGUGUCUCGCAGCCCCAACCCCGAGCAGAAGAGUAAAGCCCUCAGUGCACACCACGGUCCAUAGGGCCACUGAUGACGGUGGGCCAAGAGGGAGCCAGAAACACCUGGAGCCUCAGCAGGAGAGGUGGAAACUUGCUAGGAGAGAGAUGAGGACCUGUCACUUGGCUCCCUGGAGUUGAGAGUUCCCAGGGAAGGGGAUUCCUACAGGGGAAGGGGAAUCCACCUGGGCCAGGGAAGCCAACCACUGAAGGGGAAGUCUAGAAGGAUAGGGCUCCCCAAGUUUGAACUUUUAUUUUGGGUUAAAGGAUAUAUUGGCUGGGUUAGAGAAAGUCAGAAGGGAACCAGGGGAGCUCUCCCCCACCCCCCACCCCUUCCCCACCCCCCACAGCCACAGGAAUGCAGCCAAGGCUCCACAAUAGCCUGGGCCUUGGAGUUCCUAGAAGAGUUAAUUAUAUUCAAUGGUGUUGCACCUUAUAUUUUGUGACUGGGCACUGGGUAUUGCGUGGUUUAUAUUUCAUGUUUUAUCAGUAUAAAUUGAUAAAGUCUAAAAUUAUUGAGUUAUAUUGAAAUCCUUAAUCUGAUAUUAUGAGGCUAAGUAUUUGAUAUAUAUUUGUAGAUUUAUAUUUAAUACCUAAGUAGAUUUAAAUUUUUAUAGAGUUUAAGGUUAUAAAACACUUGUUGAAACUUAGGUUAGAAUAUUAUUAUAAUAGUUAACUGUAUCCUGAGAGAGGUGUAGAACUGUGUAAAUAUAGCCUAUAAUCCUUGUUGUUGUAAAUGGUGUGUGUGUGUAUUCUUUUCAUCUUUUUCUUAUGUAUAUUGUAAUACUGAUAAACUUGUAUACAGUUAAGUUA